rnacentral:tRNA from 1 species
UGCCGGAUGGACGAUUGGGUAAGUCGCUGUCGCUCUGAACGAUGGAGAGGUUGGUUCAACCCCAACUCCGGCAUCCA